UACGAAGGGGGCGAGCGUUGUUCGGAUUUACUGGGCGUAAAGGGCGCGCAGGCGGCCAUUCAAGUCAGGCGUGAAAGCCCCGGGCUUAACCUGGGAGGUGCGCUUGGGACUGGGUGGCUAGAGAUCGGGAGAGGAGAGUGGAAUUCCCAGUGUAGAGGUGAAAUUCGUAGAUAUUGGGAAGAACACCAGUGGCGAAGGCGGCUCACUGGUCCGGUACUGACGCUGAGGAGCGAAAGCAUGGGGAGCGAACAGG
rnacentral:rRNA from 1 species